rnacentral:pre_miRNA from 1 species
UCAGAGGGAGUAUACUCAGGUGUUUGUUUUUCUCCCUCAAAGGCUUCCAACUACAUCAGCAUUCUAUUCCACUUCUGGCUUAAGAUGCAGUGAAUUUGCGUUGUUGUUGGAUGCCUUAGUGGGAGAUGUACAUACCCCUGUCAUUGAUGUGUUGC